GACGUAGGGCGCGAGCGUUGUCCGGAAUUAUUGGGCGUAAAGGGCUCGUAGGCGGUUUGUCGCGUCGGGAGUGAAAACUCAGGGCUUAACCCUGAGCCUGCGGUCGAUACGGGCAGACUUGAGUUCGGCAGGGGAGACUGGAAUUCCUGGUGUAGCGGUGAAAUGCGCAGAUAUCAGGAGGAACACCGGUGGCGAAGGCGGGUCUCUGGGCCGAUACUGACGCUGAGGAGCGAAAGCGUGGGGAGCGAACAGG
rnacentral:rRNA from 1 species